rnacentral:tRNA from 1 species
AGUAGAAUGGCUGAGAAGUAAUAGGCAAAAGACUGUAAAUCUUUCUAGGAGAAGUACUCUUCUACUA